UCGUCAGCUCGUGUCGUGAGAUGUUGGGUUAAGUCCCGCAACGAGCGCAACCCCUAUGAUUAGUUGCCAGCAUUUAGUUGGGGACUCUAGUCAGACUGCCGGUGACAAACCGGAGGAAGGUGGGGAUGACGUCAAAUCAUCAUGCCCCUUAUGACCUGGGCUACACACGUGCUACAAUGGAUGGUACAACGAGCAGCUAACCCGCGAGGGUAUGCGAAUCUCUUAAAGCCAUUCUCAGUUCGGAUUGCAGGCUGCAACUCGCCUGCAUGAAGCCGGAAUCGCUAGUAAUCGCGGAUCAGCACGCCGCGGUGAAUACGUUCCCGGGUCUUGUACACACCGCCCGUCACACCACGAGAGUUUGUAACACCCGAAGCCGGUGGCCUAACCCUUUUAGGGAGGGAGCCGUCGAAGGUGGGAUGAAAUGAUUGGGGUGAAGUCGUAACAAGGUAACCGUA
rnacentral:rRNA from 1 species